GCAAGUCGAACGGUAAGAUCUCGCUUGCGAGAUACACGAGUGGCGCACGGGUGAGUAACGCGUAUGCAACCUACCUUCAACUGGAGAAUAGCCCCGAGAAAUCGGGAUUAAUACUCCAUAAAAUCCAACUUUCACCUGUUAGUUGGACUAAAGCUCCGGCGGUUGGAGAUGGGCAUGCGUGACAUUAGUUUGUUGGUGAGGUAACGGCUCACCAAGACUACGAUGUCUAGGGGUUCUGAGAGGAUUAUC
rnacentral:rRNA from 1 species